GACGAACGCUGGCGGCGUGCUUAACACAUGCAAGUCGAACGGAAAGGCCCUGCUUUUGUGGGGUGCUCGAGUGGCGAACGGGUGAGUAACACGUGAGUAACCUGCCCUUGACUUUGGGAUAACUUCAGGAAACUGGGGCUAAUACCGGAUAGGAGCUCCUGCUGCAUGGUGGGGGUUGGAAAGUUUCGGCGGUUGGGGAUGGACGCGCGGCUUAUCAGCUUGUUGGUGGGGUAGUGGCUUACCAAGGCUUUGACGGGUAGCCGGCCUGGGAGGGUGACCGGCCACAUUGGGACUGAGAUACGGCCCAGACUCCUACGGGAGGCAGCAGUGGGGAAUAUUGCACAAUGGGCGGAAGCCUGAUGCAGAAACGCCGCGUGCGGGAUGACGGCCUUCGGGUUGUAAACCGCUUUCGCCUGUGACGAAGCGUGAGUGACGGUAAUGGGUAAAGAAGCACCGGCUAACUACGUG
rnacentral:rRNA from 1 species